GCCUGGAUAGCUUAGUCAGUUAGAGCAUGGUGCUGAUAAGGCCAAGGUUGCAGGUUUGAUCCCCGUAUGAGACA